GACGAACGCUGGCGGCGUGCUUAACACAUGCAAGUCGAGCGGUAAGGCCCUUUCGGGGGUACACGAGCGGCGAACGGGUGAGUAACACGUGGGUGACCUGCCCUCAGCUCUGGGAUAAGCCUGGGAAACCGGGUCUAAUACUGGAUAUGACUCCAUGACGCAUGUUGUGGGGUGGAAAGCCUUGUGCGGCUGAGGAUCGGGCCCGCGGCCUAUCAGCUUGGUUGGUGGGGUGANCGGCCUACCAAGGCGACGACGGGUAGCCGGCCUGAGAGGCGACCGGCCACACUGGGACUGAGACACGGCCCAGACU
rnacentral:rRNA from 1 species